UGGGGAAUAUUGGACAAUGGGCGCAAGCCUGAUCCAGCCAUGCCGCGUGAGUGAUGAAGGCCUUAGGGUUGUAAAGCUCUUUCACCCACGACGAUAAUGACGGUAGUGGGAGAAGAAGCCCCGGCUAACUUCGUGCCAGCAGCCGCGGUAAUACGAAGGGGGCUAGCGUUGCUCGGAAUCACUGGGCGUAAAGGGCGCGUAGGCGGACGUUUAAGUCAGGGGUGAAAGCCCGAGGCUCAACCUCGGAAUUGCCCUUGAUACUGGAUGUCUCGAGACCGGAAGAGGUGAGUGGAACUGCGAGUGUAGAGGUGAAAUUCGUAGAUAUUCGCAAGAACACCAGUGGCGAAGGCGGCUCACUGGUCCGGAUCUGACGCUGAGGCGCGAAAGCGUGGGGAGCAAACAGGAUUAGAUACCCUGGUAGUCCACGCCGUAAACGAUGGAUGCUAGCCGUUGGCCAGCUUGCUGGUCCGUGGCGCAGCUAACGCUUUAAGCAUCCCGCCUGGGGAGUCGGCCGCAAGGUUAAAACUCAAAGGAAUUGACGGGGUCAUAGCUGUUUCCUG
rnacentral:rRNA from 1 species